rnacentral:lncRNA from 1 species
GUGAAUUCUGUUUUGGUCUCCAGGAGGUCAGCUGUGACAAUUAUUGACCUUUUUGUUCAUAGUGCGUGCUGUCCUGAUGGCUCAGGAGCCCUCAGGCUUGCUGGGAGCAGCAGGAAGAAAGAAUGUGUUUAACUUGCAAGGUGCUUAGAAGGGCUGCAAAUAGCUCCUCACUGUCACACCAUGCAUGUCUUGCCUGGUGCUAUGGGAACUCCAUGGGAACCCUGGUGACCAUCGUCUGUGCCCAUGACAACAGCUUUUGGUGUCACUGCUGCAGGGUGACACAGAGCCUGGGGGCUGUGAUGGAGGUGGAGCUGAGCAGCCUGAGACUUCUGGAAAUCAAAGCUGGGAAAUGUCAAGGCAUUGCCUUGCUCCCUGUCCUCUUAUCUGCUUGGAUCUGAGCUGGGGCUGCGACUUCUUCUAGGGAGGUUCUCCAAACAACUGCCAGAUGGCAAUCACAUCCAGUUCCUCCAAUCAGGCUGAUUUUUGAAUCUCUGACAACAGGGUAAUAACUG